GAUGAAGAACGUAGCGAAAUGCGAUAAGUAGUGUGAAUUGCAGAAUUCAGUGAAUCAUCGAAUCUUUGAACGCACAUUGCGCCCCUUGGUAUUCCAUGGGGCAUGCCUGUUCGAGCGUCAUUUGUACCUUCAAGCUUUGCUUGGUGUUGGGUGUUUGUCCAUUCUCUUGCAGAGGGACUCGCCUUAAAGUAAUUGGCAGCCAGUGUUUUGGAUUUGAAGCGCAGCACAAGACGCGAUUCAACGCUAUACGCCAGCUUCCACAAGCCUUUUUCACUUUUGACCUCGGAUCAGGUAGGGAUACCCGCUGAACUUAAGCAUAUCAAUAAGCGGAGGA
rnacentral:misc_RNA from 1 species